rnacentral:rRNA from 1 species
UACCAGCACCCCGAGUGGUCGGGACGAUUAUUGGGCCUAAAGCAUCCGUAGCCGGUCCUACAAGUCUUCCGUUAAAUCCACCUGCUCAACAGAUGGGCUGCGGAAGAUACUAUAGGGCUAGGAGGCGGGAGAGGCAAGCGGUACUCAGUGGGUAGGGGUAAAAUCCUCUGAUCCAUUGAAGACCACCAGUGGCGAAGGCGGCUUGCCAGAACGCGCUCGACGGUGAGGGAUGAAAGCUGGGGGAGCAAACAGG